AAAAAGGUAAGCUAAUUAAGCUAGUGGGUUCAUACCCCAUUCAUGGAAUUUUUAAUCUUCUUCUUUUUA
rnacentral:tRNA from 1 species